UCUGAACUGAGGUGUUGAAUAAAAGGGACCCUCAGUCAGAAACUUUACAGGUCAGAAGCGACACACUCGGUCAGAAUCGUUAUUCUUAGUAUAGAGCUCUUUAUAAACCGGGUAGUUUGCAUACUGGAUGCUGAUUGGCUAAAAACAGCAUUUAGCCGUGUGUAUGUGAGACUGUUUACGUUCACCAUGAUAUCAUUGCGCCUUUUCACCUCUAUAAAAUGGCUACAGCAAUAAUAGUUCCACAUGCCGAUGUAGAAAAUAAAAGUUAAAAUGAAUUUGAGGGAAACUGAAACGAAUUGUGAAACAAAGUGGGCACUUACCCGCUUCACUGACUGGUGCACCGAACAAGGGAUACAUUGUGAGUUUGUGAAUACAACCAAAAUGGAGCUGAAAGUCAUUUUACGGGACUGUUAUGGUUAAGUGAGAAACAUGAAUGGCGAAAAAGAUGGGAUUAGCAGCUAAACUGCCGCUGGACUUGAACCGAAAGAUCAAUGACCCCCUCUCAGUCUGGCAUGGAAUAUACAGGACACCGAAAUCACAACGCGCAACAAUGUGUCGUCUCUCAGCGUAAUUAAAAAGUUGAGGAAGAGGGGUGCGACAAAGCAGUGAAUGGAUACGUAUGGUACACAUGUCAAGAGCCGAUAGGAGUGAACACCCUCGUAACAAUGCUGCCAAAAUCCUGAAAAAUAGCUGGCUCGUCACAGAUGUACACAAACUACUACCUCCGUCAUCCAUUUACAGUAGCGUGGAGCCAACAAACAUGGAACAUUUGUUUCAUUUGUGCACAAUAAAUGACAACAUUCAGAUCAAUGUUAAUAAAUAAUUGUCAUGUGUUAGUCAUUCUAUAAAGGGGCGCUAAUGCUCGGUUUUUGCAUACAUGUAAUGUAGGUUUGCCAUCUUGCCUGUGGUUAUGUUGCAUAGCAACCAGUUUAGCGUUGAUACUUUUGUCCGGACUACUUUUUCUGGCAGUAUGUAUUUAUUGUGAAUGUAUUUAUUAAAGCAACAUUUUCAAUAUAGAUGUGUAGUUUCUUGCCUUACUUUGUUGGCAACCGGUUUAUAAAAGCAAUAAGGCACUUUGGGGGUUAGUGGUAUAUGGCCUAUGUACCACGGCUAAGGGCUGUAUGCAGGCACUCCGCGUUGCGUCGUAGAAAGAACAACCCGUAGCCUUGGUAUAUAACCCAUAUACCACACCCUCUUGGGCCUCAUUGUUUAAAUAGACGCUCAGCGCUAUAUCAAAUCGCAAAGGGCCUACACUGGAGCCGGUUCCAAAUUUUCAACCGUAAACAAUCAUAACAUUUUGUUCAUCGUUAUAAUUGGUCAUGGGAACAUAUCCAUCGAUCUAACUGUUGUAUAUAAUGACCCUCGCUUGGUUAGCUGCCGAGACUCAAUAGCGCCCCACGUCAUGUGCCAGUACCACACCGCAGGUCUGGCAUUGUAAAUUGACCUUGUUUUUGUUCCUGAGGGAAUACGCUAGAAAAUAGUUAGCUAGCUACGUUACUUCAGCUGCAUUCCAUUGCAAAUGUCGGCGGGAAGCGGUGAAAAAUACAAACUUUGGACAACUAUAUGAUUAUCCAGAAAUUAUUAGAACAUACAAUGUUACAUUCACUCCAGAGGAGUAUCAAAUGUAAUAACAUGUAUAUAAGGAAACUAUGUCAAUAUGUUACUAUUCCCUCUGCUAAAAUGUACUGAAAUGCAGCCCUCGGACAAGUGAACUGGAACAGUUUCGUUAUCUGGUAAAUAUUGUACAUCUAAGGUGAAAGAGGUAUCAUACAAACUCAUUCAUAGAAUCUACCCUGAAAUGACCUUUAUUAUACACAGAUUUAAAAUAGCUAUUGAUAACAAAUGUGUAUUUUGUGAUUGUGACCCAGAGACUCUUGACCAUUUAUUUUGGGACUGCUCUUAUGUCAGAAUAUUUUGGUGUGAGUUAGAAUAUUUUAUUUUAAAAGAAACAACUAUUAAUGUUAAUUUGAAAGACAAUUUGAAAGACUAGAUAUUGUGUUUAUUUUGAACCAAAUGAUAUGGACCCUGAUUUAACUUUCAUUGUUAAUUUGUUUAUCUUUCAUGGAAGAUUAUUUGUCCAUAAAAUGCAGUGGGCAGAGAACAAACCCCUUUUCACAUUAUUUAAGAUAGAAUUGAAAUAUUAUUUUGAAAUUCUCGGUAAAUGAAAAAACAAAAAAGCAAUUACGCACCAUAAAAGUAUUUAACAAAUUGAAAAUGAAUCUGGAUAUGUAAUACCCCUGUCUGUUAGGUUUAUGUACUCUUGUUUGUAUAUUUCUGUUUUUUGUUGUUGUACUUGUGUUCAUAAUAAAAAUAAAAAUCACCAGCGGCGACGACCAA